rnacentral:piRNA from 1 species
GACCUGGGACACUUGAGCUUGAUGGCGGGA